rfam:Trichobilharzia regenti genome assembly, scaffold: TRE_scaffold0000462
AUCCAUCUGACGAGUCCCAAACAAGACAAAAUGCGCAUCUUGGAU